AUUGAACGCUGGCGGCAGGCCUAACACAUGCAAGUCGAGCGCGCGGCGGACGGGUGAGUAAAGUAUGGGGACUGCCCGAUAGAGGGGGAUAACUACUGGAAACAGUAGGUAAUAUCUCAUACUAUAGCAUAGCCCAUCUGGGAUUAGCUAGUAGGUGGGGUAAUGGCUCACCUAGGCGACGAUGCCUCGCUGGUCUGAGAGGAUGAUCAGCAACACUGGGACUGAGACACGGCCCAGACGCCGACGGAGGCAGCAGUGGGGAAUAUUGCACAAUGGGCGCAAGCCUGAUGCAGCCAUGCCGCGUGUAUGAAGAAGGCCUUAGGGUUGUAAAGUACUUUCAGUCGGGAGGCGUUACCGACAGAAGAAGCACCGGCUAACUCCGUGCCAGCCGCCGCGGUAAUUC
rnacentral:rRNA from 1 species